CUUUUCUUUCUCACUAUGCCAUGCCGCAUGAUUUUUUCCAUCUUUCAAUUUCUUCUAUCUCUUCUCAAUCUCACUUUCAACCCUCUCUUCUCCGACGAACAAUCACCGCACCCAUAGUUGUCAUCGUCCUUCGUGCCCACCCACCGCCGCGUCUGUCACCAUUGUGCUCAUUCAUCGUCUAUUUGUCGUCCUUGUUUCUCACGUUUGUGUGUUCGUGCCCAACCCUUUCCAUCGACCAUUAGCCGCUAAAUAGCUUUUCCCACUCUUUCGUAACUUCAUCGGCGUUAUUUCUUCUCGUUCUUGUUGUGAAAUGUCAUUUUUUAUACUUGAGUUCUUUUUUCCGUAUGAAAUUGGAGAAUAUAGUUUCAUUCGAGGUUGGGGAUUUUCUUUUAUGUUAAAGCAUUUGAGUGUGGUUUUAUCCUUUUAGAUGUGUGGUUUUAUUCAUUUUCUAAGCAUUUUAGGUUUUCUCCAUAUGUUUGUGCAAAAUGGAACUUUGGGUAAAACUAUUAUAUGAUGGAUAUUUACUGGAAUCUUUGUUAAUAAUUUGUCUUCAUGUGAGUCUAUUGAUGAUUAAUUUAUCUCUACUUUAUUUCUUUGAUUUAGUGGAUUUCGUGUUUGGUUAAAAUAUGUUCCUAUGAUUGCCUUUAGGAUUGACAAUGGACCCUUCAAGGUAAGGAAAAGUUCUGCAAUGUCCAUGAACAUUUCUCAGUUAUUCUUCUUCUCUAUUUCUAUGUCCAAACAAAUAAUUUUAUGAGUUGUGUAUUGUUUACUCAAUGGAUUUAAUGGUCUUUCAUGAAGGCCGCUAUGCAAAAAUUUAGUGCGAAGAUUGUUAGUAUGAUGAAGGGGGAGAAGUUAUAUCAUGGCCAAGGAGGACCUGUUAUUCUUUCUUAGGUUGAGAAUGAAUAUGGACCAGUGGAAUGAGAAAUAUGUACCCCUGGUAAAUCUUACACCAAAUGGUCUGCUCAAAUGGCAUUAAGUCUUGACACUGGAGUACCAUGGGUGAUGUGCAAACAAGAGGAUGCCCUUGACCCUGUGGUAAGCUACUUUGAACCCUUUCUGUCACUGGUUUCUUUUCCCUUCUUGGGAUUCCAUUGGUGUUAAGGAACAUGUACUAGGUUGUUUGUGCAACUUCUCAUUUAUGAAAUAUUCAAGGUUCACUGAGUUUGGAGGUCCAGUUCCUUAUAAACCGGUUGAAGACUUAGCUUAUGUUGUUUCAAGAUUCAUUCAAAAUCGUGGUUCUCUCAUUAAUUAUUAUAUGGUAAAGAACAUAUAGUAAUUGACAGAGUAUUUAUGGUAUAUGACAAAGUAAGAAAUCAUCCACCUGUCACAGUUUUGUGGAUAGAGUAAGAAAUCCUCCACCCAUCACAGUUUUGUUCUUUGUUGAAUAUUUUAUUGAAAAAUAUUGUAAUAAAUCGACUAUAUCUUACUCUAUGUCAUGUUUAUCUUGCUCAGUAUAAGGUUCGACUCGAAUGAAUGCUUCUUAAAAAAUGGAGAAUGGCCUCUUCUCACCAUCUUUUCAGCAGGGCAUGCUUUGCAUUUGUUCAUAAAUGGCCAACUAUCUGGUACAUGGCAAUAAAUGUGUUUUUCCUCCCUAAAUAUCCUUCAAGCAUCAACUAAAUGAUUCUAAUUCUAACAUCUCAUAAUGUUAUUAUAUUCUGAAUAUAGGAACUGUAUAUGAGGGGUUGGAUAAUCCUAAAUUAACAUUCAACAAAUAUGUUAACUUAAGGCUAGAAGUUAAUAAGCUUUCAAUGUUGAGUGUUGUUGUUGGUUUCAUGGUUAGUUGCUUUGGUUUUCUAUUUCAACCGUUUCUUUAAACGUUAUGGUGAAGUUCAAAGUUUGAUUCUCCAAAUAUCCUAAUCUGUUGAUUGACAGAAAUUCGUUUUUCUUAAGUUGAUUUAACACAGGGCUUGAUCAAUUACUAUCUCACAGUUUCUGUAAGUCAUUAGGACCAAUUGCUCAAUCAUUUACUGUAUAGCAAGCAGAGCAUAGCGUACAAGAGUCGACCGCAACUUUUGAAGAAUUAGCAAGAGUUCAGUGGUGUUAAAACUUUGCUCUCAAAAUAUCAAAUAUGUUGGAACUCUGGAGUAAGUGCAAGCUAUUCUAUAAGAAUGAUUGAAGUUAUAUCAGGUUGAAAGCUGAGCGAUUGUGUAGAUAGCCAGACGAUCGUUGAAGGUUGAAGAUUGAAUAUUGAGAAGACGUUUAAAAUUUUUCUUAUUUAUGUCAUGUAUUAGGAUCUUUUUUCAUAUACUGUUGUAGAAUGUAUAUAUAAACACAAUAUUAAGUUUUCAUUUUGUGUAUACAAAUGUAAAAGAUAAAUAUUAUAGUUUCUAAAAUAAUAUUAUAUUUAUUGA